UGUUUCGGCUAGGGGGUCAUCCCGACUUACCAACCCGAUGCAAACUACGAAUACCGAAGAAUGUUAUCACGGGAGACACACGGCGGGUGCUAACGUCCGUCGUGAAGAGGGAAACAACCCAGACCGCCAGCUAAGGUCCCAAAGUCACAGUUAAGUGGGAAACGAUGUGGGAAGGCACAGACAGCCAGGAUGUUGGCUUAGAAGCAGCCAUCAUUUAAAGAAAGCGUAAUAGCUCACUGGUCGAGUCGGCCUGCGCGGAAGAUGUAACGGGGCUAAACUGUGCACCGAAGCUGCGGCAGCGACACUAUGUGUUGUUGGGUAGGGGAGCGUUCUGUAAGCCUGCGAAGGUGGCCUGUGAGGGUUGCUGGAGGUAUCAGAAGUGCGAAUGCUGACAUAAGUAACGAUAAUGCGGGUGAAAAGCCCGCACGCCGGAAGACCAAGGGUUCCUGUCCAACGUUAAUCGGGGCAGGGUGAGUCGACCCCUAAGGCGAGGCCGAAAGGCGUAGUCGAUGGGAAACAGGUUAAUAUUCCUGUACUUGGUGUUACUGCGAAGGGGGGACGGAGAAGGCUAUGUUAGCCGGGCGACGGUUGUCCCGGUUUAAGCAUGUAGGCGGAGGUUCCAGGUAAAUCCGGUACCUUAUUAACGCUGAGGUGUGAUGACGAGGCACUACGGUGCUGAAGUAACAAAUGCCCUGCUUCCAGGAAAAGCCUCUAAGCAUCAGGUAACAUUGAAUCGUACCCCAAACCGACACAGGUGGUCAGGUAGAGAAUACCAAGGCGCUUGAGAGAACUCGGGUGAAGGAACUAGGCAAAAUGGUGCCGUAACUUCGGGAGAAGGCACGCUGAUAUGUAGGUGAAGCCCCUGCGG
rnacentral:rRNA from 1 species